AGCAGCCGCGGUAAUUCCAGCUCCAAUAGCGUAUAUUAAAGUUGUUGCAGUUAAAAAGCUCGUAGUUGAAUUUCGGGAUCAAUAUGUCGGUCGUGCCAUCGGUACGUACUGGUAUCAUUGGUUUCUCCUUUCUGACGAACCAUGAUGUCAUUAAUUUGGUGUUAUGGGGAGUUAGGACUGUUACUUUGAAAAAUUAGAGUGUUUGAAGCAGGCUUUAGCUUGAAUACAUUAGCAUGGAAUAAUGAAAUAGGACGUUUGAUUCUAUUUUGUUGGUUUCUAGGAUCGACGUAAUGAUUAAUAGGGAUAGUUGGGGGCAUUAGUAUUCAAUUGUCAGAGGUGAAAUUCUUGGAUUUAUUGAAGACUAACUACUGCGAAAGCAUUUGCCAAGGAUGUUUUCAUUAAUCAAGAACGAAAGUUAGGGGAUCGAAGACGAUCAGAUACCGUCGUAGU
rnacentral:rRNA from 1 species